CGUGUUUGCGUGUGUCUAGUGCGUGCGUGUUUUGUGAGUGUGUUUAUGUGGGUCGCUGUGUGUGCAUGCGUGCACGUGUUAGCGUGUCUGCCUGCAUGUAUGUGUGCUUGUUUGUGUUUAUCAAUGUGCGCGUGCGCGCAUUUGUGUCUGCACUUUGAGAGUGCGUAUAUUUGUGUGUGCGUGCGUAUGUAUUGCAUGAGGCCGGUAGAGUUUUACUCGCAAUAAACUUUUCCAAUUUGGUGCAGCGAGUGUUCUCGCCCGAAAGCCGAGUUUGGUUUCAAGCCACCCUGGACAACUGCUGUAUGAGGCGCCGUUUCUCGGGAGGACCGGUGGGAAGGCGUCAGGUCAUGCAGAUGAUAGCAGCAGUUUCGCAAUGCCCAGCCUUGGUGCCCUCCAUCAAGAGCAAGCCACUUGCAUUCGCCUUCAGACAGAUGGUUGAUGUCUUCUUGGAAGCAGUUUGGAAGACAGCAUUGAUGCAAGAUUCCAGCGAUGCCAUACGCUGCACUUAUUGGUCAAGAUGCUCAGAGAAUGGAGUUCCUGCAUCUCAUGGUUAACCGUGAACAGUAUUCUUUUUUGCUUUUUGAAUGCUAAAUGCCAUUUGCUGCAUUAAUUGCAUUUUUUCAGGUCAAAUGUAUACCAUACUUUUUCUAAUUUUGAAUCAAUUAAUAUACACUAUUCAGCAUGAUAAAAAAAUGACCUACAGCAUGAAGGAGGACUGCGAGAGACGACAUACACUGCGCUGACUUCCAACAAUAUUUUAUUGUGUUAUCACAUCGUGUGUAUAUAUGCAAGAGGGGCCAUGUGCAGAAAAUCAAAGGCAGUCAAAGGGGUGUUUUAACAGCAAGUAAUUGUACUAAGAACAUGGUCACUUGAAAAAAAUUAACAUCACAAUUUCUCUGUUGAGAUACAAGACUUC